GAUGAACGCUGGCGGCGUGCCUAAUACAUGCAAGUAGAACGCUGAAGGAAGUAGCUUGCUCUUUCCGGAUGAGUUGCGGACGGGUUAGUAACGCGUAGGUAACCUGCCUGGUAGCGGGGGAUAACUAUUUGAAACGAUAGCUAAUACCGCAUAACAGUAGAUGUUGCAUGAUAUCUACUUAAAAGGUGCAAUUGCACCACUACCAGAUGGACCUGCGUUGUAUUAGCUAGUUGGUGAGGUAACGGCUCACCAAGGCGACGAUACAUAGCCGACCUGAGAGGGUGAUCGGGCACACUGGGACUGAGACACGGCCCAGACUCCUACGGGAGGCAGCAGGAGGGAAUAUUCGGCAACGGACGGAAGUCUGAACGAGGAACGCCGCGGGAGUGAAGAAGGGUUUCGGAUCGGAAAGCUGUGUUGUAAGAGAAGAAAGAGUGUGAGAGUGGAAAGUUCACACUGUGACGGUAUCUUAACAGAAAGGGACGGCUAACUACGUG
rnacentral:rRNA from 1 species